AGUGGGGAAUAUUGGACAAUGGGCGAAAGCCUGAUCCAGCCAUGCCGCGUGUGUGAAGAAGGCCUUCGGGUUGUAAAGCACUUUUGUACGGGAAGAAAAGCCCUGGGUUAAUACCCUGGGGUCAUGACGGUACCGUAAGAAUAAGCACCGGCUAACUUCGUGCCAGCAGCCGCGGUAAUACGAAGGGUGCAAGCGUUACUCGGAAUUACUGGGCGUAAAGCGUGCGUAGGUGGUCUGUCAAGUCCGAUGUGAAAGCCCUGGGCUCAACCUGGGAACUGCAUUGGAAACUGGCAGUCUGGAGUGCGGUAGAGGGUAGCGGAAUUCCCGGUGUAGCAGUGAAAUGCGUAGAUAUCGGGAGGAACAUCCGUGGCGAAGGCGGCUACCUGGACCAGCACUGACACUGAGGCACGAAAGCGUGGGGAGCAAA
rnacentral:rRNA from 1 species